rnacentral:rRNA from 1 species
UGGGGAAUAUUGCACAAUGGGCGCAAGCCUGAUGCAGCCAUGCCGCGUGUGUGAAGAAGGCCUCGGGUUGUAAAGCACUUUCAGCGAGGAGGAAGGUGGUGAGCUUAAUACGCUCAUCAAUUGACGUUACUCGCAGAAGAAGCACCGGCUAACUCCGUGCCAGCAGCCGCGGUAAUACGGAGGGUGCAAGCGUUAAUCGGAAUUACUGGGCGUAAAGCGCACGCAGGCGGUUUGUUAAGUCAGAUGUGAAAUCCCCGGGCUCAACCUGGGAACUGCAUUUGAAACUGGCAAGCUAGAGUCUCGUAGAGGGGGGUAGAAUUCCAGGUGUAGCGGUGAAAUGCGUAGAGAUCUGGAGGAAU